CUCAUAUAGUGUUUCAUUUGUGUUCUUUAUGUAGCACGACUGUUUAAUUGGUAAUUUAGAAUGUUGUUCCGUUCAUCACGAAUUCAGAUCCCAUUAAACUGUAUCUCGUGUCUGAAUUCUCGAAAAAGAAUUUUUGUGGUACAUAAGCUUUACUCUUUCUUUCCUCUCCCUGCAAUAUGGAUUCCACAAACGAAGCACUAAGUGCCUGUUGGCUUAGGACAUGGGAUGGGCUAAUUGAUGAGGGUGCCUACACUUAAAUGUCAUGUAAGAU